rnacentral:pre_miRNA from 12 species
CCUUGGCCGUGUAAAAGUGCUUACAGUGCAGGUAGCAUUCUGCGAUCUACUGCAAUGCAAGCACUUCUUACAUUACUGGGG